UCCCAUUCUGAACACGGAAGUUAAGCCCGCCAGCGCCGAUGGUACUUGGGUCGAGAGGCCCUGGGAGAGUAGGACGCCGCCGGAU
rnacentral:rRNA from 1 species